rnacentral:rRNA from 1 species
GACGUAGGGUGCAAGCGUUGUCCGGAUUUACUGGGCGUAAAGAGCGCGUAGGCGGUCUUGUAAGUGUGAAGUGAAAUCUCCAGGGCUCAACCCGGAAACUGCUUUGCAUACUGCGAGACUUGAGGGAUGCAGAGGUUUGUGGAAUUCCUGGUGUAGCGGUGAAAUGCGUUGAUAUCAGGAGGAACACCCAUGGCGAAGGCAGCAAACUGGGCAUCAUCUGACGCUGAGGCGCGAAAGCGUGGGUAGCAAACAGG